AACGAACGCUGGCGGCAUGCCUAACACAUGCAAGUCGAACGAUCCCUUCGGGGAUAGUGGCGCACGGGUGCGUAACGCGUGGGAACCUGCCCUUAGGUUCGGAAUAACUCAGAGAAAUUUGAGCUAAUACCGGAUAAUGUCUUCGGACCAAAGAUUUAUCGCCUUUGGAUGGGCCCGCGUUGGAUUAGCUAGUUGGUGGGGUAAAGGCCUACCAAGGCGACGAUCCAUAGCUGGUCUGAGAGGAUGAUCAGCCACACUGGGGCUGAGACACGGCCCAGACUCCUACGGGAGGCAGCAGUGGGGAAUAUUGGACAAUGGGCGAAAGCCUGAUCCAGCAAUGCCGCGUGAGUGAUGAAGGCCUUAGGGUUGUAAAGCUCUUUUACCCGGGAUGAUAAUGACAGUACCGGGAGAAUAAGCCCCGGCUAACUCCGUG
rnacentral:rRNA from 1 species